CAGCCGCCACGGGAAUACGAAGGGGGCUAGCGUUGCUCGGAAUGACUGGGCGUAAAGGGCGCGUAGGCGGCGAUCAAAGUCAGGCGUGAAAUUCCUGGGCUCAACCUGGGGGCUGCGUUUGAUACUUGAUUGCUAGAGUGGGGAAGAGGGUCGUGGAAUUCCCAGUGUAGAGGUGAAAUUCGUAGAUAUUGGGAAGAACACCGGUGGCAAAGGCGGCGACCUGGUCCUUGACUGACGCUGAGGCGCGAAAGCGUGGGGAGCAAACAGGAUUAGAUACCCCCGUAGUCCCUGUCUCUUAUAC
rnacentral:rRNA from 1 species